ACAUAUAUGUAUAUAGACACGCAUAUAUUCAAAUAUAUAUAUGUUAAUAUAUACAAAACACAUUCAUAUACGUUUAUGCAUACAUAAGGUAUGUUUACUGUUUAUAUAUCGGGGAGAAAAACAAACGUGUUUCAAUGAAACUAUACAGCUAUACAUUAUUCACUCAUCACACAACAACAUAUACACUCACUCAACAUACAUCCACAUAUACACUCACUUUUUCUGUUGAAUAAAUAUGGAAUUAAGUCUUAAACAACAUCAUCAUUGUUCUUUGAACAUUGUGGUAGGAGAGCGACUGAAUGAAGGGGAGAUAACCAGGAAAUGAAUGUACACAUGGCUGAAUUAGUAGAACACUGGACACUUAUUCCUUGAGGUUGGUGGUUCGUUUCCACUCCCAGCUAUUAUCAUGUUUUAAAAUUAAGUUGUUGUUGGUUGUAGCCCCAAAUUAAAGCAUAUUGAGCGCAUACAUUUAUGAGGCACUGAUAGUCAGCCGAGCGUAUAUAUAUGAGCCACUGGUCUAUUGCUUUAGAUACACCGUGUCUCUGCCUAACUAAAUGCCAUACCUCAACAAUCCAACGUGAUAUGAAUAAUCGUAAACGAUUCGUUUGCUAAUACCUCGGCAAACUUCACUGAUGAAGUUCAACAAUACUAAAAUAUGCUCGGAGUUGCCUCCCGUACAUUUCUGAAACUGUAAAAAAAAAAAAAAACACCAGUCCUUAACUAAUAUUAUUUUCUUUCACCACGUGUUUGAUCUUUUUUUAAGUUGUCAAUAUUCCAUCCAUAAAAUAAUCUUUCACUCACUUGUGUGUACUUGAAUAUGGGCCACCUUUUAGGACCGUUAAGUUAAUCUUUCCUACUGGUAGCCUGGUAAAUAAUGUCAUGUCACGUAAGAAGGUAGCAACGUCAUAUCUCGUGAGAAGGUAGCAUCUAACGGACAUUUUGCAAUUUGGAAGGCAAUCGUUGAUGAUGUGGUGCUAAUAUCUUCCGUACUGAUGCGGCACAUUCGUCGUUUUCUUUUUAAUAAUUUCUAACUCGGGUGUUGUUUGUGUGCAACCUCAUGUUAGCUCUUAUUGAGAACGUCUAUAACACGCAACUUGUCAGCAGGGCAUGUAUAUGCGAACCAUAGAUUUGUUGCUUCAAAUGCUCCAUAUCUCUUCCUAGAUAAAAACCCACAUCGCAACAUUCGGACAUGGUGAAGUAUUACAAUUUGAGUACAUCCUACUCUCUUCACUGCACUUAACUGUCCACUCAAUGUAGAGUCUGAAGGAAUGGACAGGUCUGAUGCUUCAGGUGGUGACCACUGCAAUGGUAGGUAAGGCUGUCUUAGACUGAGACUAUUCUGCUCCCCUGGCAGAAUUGUAUGGUUCAGUGCUGUACACAACGGUAACUUCGUAAACUUGGCAAGUUACCAUUAUCUUGCAGCACUACUGAAUUUUCAAUCCUUCCUCUUAAUCUUGGUGGUCUCAGUGCCUUGGAACUGGCUGGCCUCGUACCUCCACCACUCAGGCAUCUCUGAACUAUUCGUCUCUCCUCUUCUCGUCACCUUUAUUUCAUUCAACCCCAUCUUUUGACCUUGCACUAAACGCUAUAUCCAGUCCUUUCUCCCCGGAACAUCGGCGCCUUUGGAAUCUACUCCCUAUUCUGCUUUUCCUGUACGUGUUGACCUGUAUCAGUUUAAACAUCGGUGCCGGAGAACCUUCAAGAGUCAUGGGCAUGGCCCAUUCUUCCAAAGUCAGCACUUAAAAAAGAAAGGGAAAUGGUGAUGAGAAACCACUGUAGUUGUGUAAUACAUUUUAGUUCCUACACGAACAGUAGCGUAUCUUCCCUUAUGUAUCAACGACCCAAACUGAGUCACAGAAUGGACUAUCAACAUAUUAUGAUGUAAGGGUGAAUAAAAUGGCGGAAACGAUAGAGCAUUGAAGUAAA